GAUGAACGCUAGCUACAGGCUUAACACAUGCAAGUCGAGGGACCGGCGCACGGGUGAGUAACACGUAUCCAACCUGCCCUUUACUCGGGGAUAGCCUUUCGAAAGAAAGAUUAAUACCCGAUGUAAAGGAUGGGGAUGCGUUCCAUUAGGUUGUUGGUGAGGUAAGGGCUCACCAAGCCUUCGUUGGAUAGGGGUUCUGAGAGGAAGGCCCCCAACGUUGGAACUGCGACACGGUCCAAACUCCUACGGGAGGGAGCAGUGAGGAAUAUGGGUCAAUGGGCGUGAGCCUGAACCGGCCAAGUAACGUGAAGGAUGGAGGCUUAUGGGUCGUAAACUUCUUUUAUAUAAGAAUAUGUAUUAUAUGAAUAAGGAUCGGCUACCUGCGUGCCAGCCGCGUAAUUC
rnacentral:rRNA from 1 species